rnacentral:lncRNA from 1 species
CUCAGGUCCCAGAGGCACUACCCAUCUCCAACUCAUCCAAUCAAUAGCCAGUUAGAGCUGAGAAGAAACACCUAUUUGCCACACCACCUUGCUUUGGAGCCAGCUGAUUAUGGACUGACACCUCUACGAACUUGUACUACACGUCCUUCUCCAACUGCCCCAGGAAGAGAUUUCCAAAUUACAGCCUGGUUACACAUCCACUGGGGAGAAUACUGGACUGCACCCGUCAUAAUCUGGGCAGCCUCAGAGCUCUAAAGCACCAGUUAAAGUUAGGACUCUAUUAAUGGCAAAGCCACAGCCCUGAAAUUAUUGAAGCCACAAACUCAGUGGAUGCUUC